GUAGUACUCCCUCCGUUCGGAAUUACUUGUCUCGAAAAUGGAUGUAUCUAGAACUAAAAUACGUCUAGAUACAUCCAUUUCUGCGACAAGUAAUUCCGAACGGAGGGAGUAAUAG
rnacentral:pre_miRNA from 1 species